GCCGGGCACGGUGGCUUGUGCCUGUAAUCCAAGCGCCGGGGAGGCUGAGGCUGGCGGACGGCUUGAGCUUGGGAGUUCUGGGCUGCAGCGAGCUGUGCCGAGCGGGCGUCCGCGCUAAGGCCGGCAUCGAUAUGGUGGUCCUCGGGGAGCCGGGGGCCACCAGGUCGCCUAAGGAGGGGUGAACCGGCCCAGGUCGGAGACGGAGCAGGUCAAAGCUCCUGUGCUGAUCGGUAGCAGGAUCGCGCCUGUGAACAGUCCCUGUAGCACAGCCCGGGCAAGAGAGCGGGACCCAGUUUCCU
rnacentral:SRP_RNA from 1 species